rnacentral:rRNA from 1 species
ACGGGAGACACACGGCGGGUGCUAACGUCCGUCGUGAAGAGGGAAACAACCCAGACCGCCAGCUAAGGUCCCAAAGUCAUGGUUAAGUGGGAAACGAUGUGGGAAGGCCCAGACAGCCAGGAUGUUGGCUUAGAAGCAGCCAUCAUUUAAAGAAAGCGUAAUAGCUCACUGGUCGAGUCGGCCUGCGCGGAAGAUGUAACGGGGCUAAACCAUGCACCGAAGCUGCGGCAGCGACGCUUAUGCGUUGUUGGGUAGGGGAGCGUUCUGUAAGCCUGUGAAGGUGUGCUGUGAGGCAUGCUGGAGGUAUCAGAAGUGCGAAUGCUGACAUAAGUAACGAUAAAGCGGGUGAAAAGCCCGCUCGCCGGAAGACCAAGGGUUCCUGUCCAACGUUAAUCGGGGCAGGGUGAGUCGACCCCUAAGGCGAGGCCGAAAGGCGUAGUCGAUGGGAAACAGGUUAAUAUUCCUGUACUUGGUGUUACUGCGAAGGGGGGACGGAGAAGGCUAUGUUGGCCGGGCGACGGUUGUCCCGGUUUAAGCGUGUAGGCUGGUUUUCCAGGCAAAUCCGGAAAAUCAAGGCUGAGGCGUGAUGACGAGGCACUACGGUGCUGAAGCAACAAAUGCCCUGCUUCCAGGAAAAGCCUCUAAGCAUCAGGUAACAUCAAAUCGUACCCCAAACCGACACAGGUGGUCAGGUAGAGAAUACCAAGGCGCUUGAGAGAACUCGGGUGAAGGAACUAGGCAAAAUGGUGCCGUAACUUCGGGAGAAGG